AGACGGAAGCCAUACGGCGCCUAGCUGUUAAUUAGGAGACUGUAGGCUUAUCGUAACCUACCCGCCUAGC
rnacentral:tRNA from 1 species